GAUGAACGCUGGCGGCGUGCCUAAUACAUGCAAGUCGAGCGAACAGACGAGGAGCUUGCUCCUCUGACGUUAGCGGCGGACGGGGGAGUAACACGUGGAUAACCUACCUAUAAGACUGGGAUAACUUCGGGAAACCGGAGCUAAUACCGGAUAAUAUAUUGAACCGCAUGGUUCAAUAGUGAAAGACGGUUUUGCUGUCACUUAGAGAUGGAUCCGCGCCGCAUUAGCUAGUUGGUAGGGUAACGGCUUACCAAGGCAACGAUGCGUAGCCGACCUGAGAGGGUGGUCGGCCACCCUGGAACUGCGGCACGGUCCAGCCGCCUACGGGAGGAGGCAGUAGGGAAUCUUCCGGCAUGGGCGAAAGCCUGACGGAGCAACGCCGCGUGGGUGAUGAUGGUCUUCUGAUCGUAAAACUCUGUUAUUAGGGAAGAACAAAUGUGUCAGUAACUAUGCACGUCUUGACGGUACCUAAUCAGAAAGCCACGGCUAACUACGUG
rnacentral:rRNA from 1 species